CUUACUCAAGAGUUGUAUAUAUUGUGGUCUAAACACUAUAGCAGAAUCCCUGUUAAACUGUCAUGCCAGCCAGCCCCUCUCUUUGUAUUAUUAUUAUAUUUGUCCAGGGACAUCCAUGUUUCCUAAAUGAUGAAAUGAGCCUCUUUUACUUCUGGAACUGCAGUCUUUGCUUGUGUAAUGCAAUUGGGAAUCCUGGCUGUGAAAUGUGUGCUACAUCAGAAAGCAUGCUGGGAGAACACUCAGAAAAGCCAGUGGCUAUGGAGCUUGAAUAGAGCAAUGCAGAAGCUGCUCUGUGGUUUCCUCCAGCUGAACAACCUUUUGGGUUCUUUGCAAUCUGCCCCCCAGCUGCCUCAAUUAGAGUCCCGUUCUUAUGGGCCGUCCCGCUCCAAGGACAGAGCUGCCUCUCUUUCUCGCCGUCUUUCUCUAACCAGCAGAUGGUUAAUGAUUCAUGGACAGGGUUGGUAGCUGUGUGCACGUGUUUGGGUGAGUGUAGCGUUUCUGAGGACGUUCCAAGGUGUGUUUUUGUGCAUGUACGUGCGAAAACUCUGAAUGGGGGAUGGGAGGUUGAGGUCACUUGAGCUCAAAAACAUGUUUUUGUGUUUCUCAUCUCUAAAUGCUGACAUUGCUGGAAUCGUUUGACACGUAUUCUCAAUGGAUCCAAAAUAACUUUCUUUCCCAUUAGUCAUGCAUUCAGACACAACUCCAUCUAUUCAGGUGCUAAAUUUACUGUGUCAUACAAUUUUUAUUUUUUGUUGUUGCACACAUUUACAGUAAUCUUCUCUUUUUGAUGUUUAUAUAUAUUGUCAAUUGAUUUAAAAGUUAAGUGUGGAAAGCCAGUUUUUGCUUACUUCCUGUUGCCCACAAUAAGAGGAAGUGUCUUUGUCAUGGGGGCUCUGAUGCUGUACUUCAGCAAAGUGGCGACUGUCCUUGAUUAUUUGUGUAGAUCGGUGUGUGUGUGUGUGUGUGCACACCUCCUCCCAUCCUCUCUAGACUCGUCCUCUUAAAAACAGAAAUAUAAUAACCCCUAAGAGAGAAAAAGAGAAGUGCCCACAUUGUGUACAGCCAGCUUUCCUUGUGGAUUUGGAAAGAAAGAGAAGAUGGGGAGAGACAAUAGAGAGUAGUCAAACUGAGUGACACACCUCUGGAGCAGAAAGAGAGAUUGAAUCAAAUGGCUCAUUUACAUGAAAGGCUUGUGGACAAUACAGCUUCUGCGUGCGUAUGAAAAUCACACUCUGACUCUCAGAGGAGUCAGGCUGUGUUAUGGAAAAGAAAGGCAUUGUUCAACAGCCCAUUAACUACUUUGCAUCUGCCUAUAUUUUUGCUAAACUCAAAAAAUAUAACUAUACGUACAAAUCUCUGGUGUUUCCAGUUGAAAUGAACCCUAAAGGCAGUAAAACUCCUUUUCACAGAAAUUAUAAUUCACAGUCCAGAGUUUCAAUUAUGAAAGACAAAUUCUUCCCUCUAUUGCUAGCACAACAUUCUGUUUUGAUUUCAAAACGAUUUUAACAUGCAGCGAGAUUUGAAAGCUAAUACUUUUAAAUGUUAGCUCCACAUAUACGGCUUCACAUUUAUGGCUUUUCGGAUGUAGAACUGUCUGGAACACACUACUGUCAGCCCCAUAAUGAAUGUAAUUUAGGCUCACUCAGUGUUCUCAGUUGGCUUUUAAAGUCGUGUAGUGUGUGGUGUCUAAUGAAUUUAAGACCAGCUGUUGUCACAAAGAUGAUUUUUAUAAUAUUUACAUCUGAUGCCGACAACUAACUGCACCUAUUUCUGAAUAUAUAUAUAUAUAUAUAUAUACAGGGCCGGCGCAAGCUCAAAUGCCGCUCCAGGCAGAGCACGAUCGUGCCGCCCCAACCUCACACUCACAAUUCGGUAUCCUUAAGAUGCAUGUAAACAAAUUAUUAUUAUUUUUUUUUAUCUAUAAAAUUACACUAAAAUAAAAACGUGUUUUUUCUUCACACUGCAACAUGAAAAAAGUACACAAUGCAACAGCUGCAUAUAAUUAGUGUUUUAUAAUAGACAGUGUACACAAUAAAACUAAACAUAUCACAACUUUUUAGCUCAUAAGUACUGGAGGUUUUGAUUUUUUCUUGACUGAGACUUCAUCUACAGCGAUAUUGUUGACUUGAUUGCAAAUUAAAACAGACACUAUUUCAACUGAACAGAGAUGACAUCAAUAAAUUCAAUGAUGAACUGCCUUUAACUAUCAUUUUGCAUUAUUGAGACACUGUUUUCCAAAUGAAUGUUGUUCAGUGCUUUGGCGCAAUGUAUUUUGUUUAAAGCACUAUAUAAAUAAAGGUGAUUGAUUGAUUGAUUGACUGAUACACACAAACAGACAUUUACACAACUAGCCCACAUUUUAGAAGCGUGCGUGUCGGGCUUUCGCAUCGGCAAAGGCUUUGAUUGUG
rnacentral:lncRNA from 1 species